rnacentral:rRNA from 1 species
AACGAACGCUGGCGGCAGGCUUAACACAUGCAAGUCGAGCGCGCCCUUCGGGGUGAGCGGCGGACGGGUGAGUAACGCGUGGGAACGUGCCCUUUGGUUCGGAAUAGCCCCGGGAAACUGGGAGUAAUGCCGAAUAAGCCCUACUGGGGAAAGAUUUAUCGCCAAAGGAUCGGCCCGCGUCGGAUUAGGUAGUUGGUGGGGUAACGGCCUACCAAGCCGACGAUCCGUAGCUGGUUUGAGAGGAUGACCAGCCACACUGGGACUGAGACACGGCCCAGACUCCUACGGGAGGCAGCAGUGGGGAAUCUUGGACAAUGGGGGCAACCCUGAUCCAGCCAUGCCGCGUGAGCGAUGAAGGCCUUAGGGUUGUAAAGCUCUUUCAGCGGGGAAGAUAAUGACGGUACCCGCAGAAGAAGCCCCGGCUAACUCCGUGCCAGCAGCCGCCGUAACAC